GAUGAACGCUAGCGGCAGGCUUAACACAUGCAAGUCGAGGGGUAGAAAUAGCUUGCUAUUUUGAGACCGGCGCACGGGUGCGUAACGCGUAUGCAAUCUGCCUUGUACUGGGGAAUAGCCCGGAGAAAUCCGGAUUAAUGCCCCAUGGUAUUUUUGUGUGGCAUCACACGAUUAUUAAAGAUUUAUCGGUACAAGAUGAGCAUGCGUCCCAUUAGUUAGUUGGUGUGGUAACGGCACACCAAGACGAUGAUGGGUAGGGGUCCUGAGAGGGAGAUCCCCCACACCGGUACUGAGACACGGACCAGACUCCUACGGGAGGCAGUAGGGAGGAAUAUUGGUCAAUGGGCGCAAGCCUGAACCAGCCAUGCCGCGUGCAGGAUGACGGCCCUAUGGGUUGUAAACUGCUUUUAUACGGGAAGAAACACCUCUUCGUGAAGAGGCUUGACGGUACCGUAAGAAUAAGGAUCGGCUAACUCCGUGCCAGCCGCCGCAGUAAAAC
rnacentral:rRNA from 1 species